UCCCGCCUCCCUUCCCUCUCCCCUCCCUCUCCUCUCUGAAUAAGCAAGCUUUUGCCUCUAAAAGUCACAAGUAAUCCUUGCGUGUGACAGAGGAGAGAGAGGAGAGAGGGAGAGGCGAGCUUUCGGAGAGGAGCAGCAGGCAGGAGGAGGAUCUGGCAGAGCGGCUGGGAGAGGAAACUUGACGCUUCGGGGCCACCAUUUGCCAGGGCCUUACUCGAGACGCCGAAAGAAGCCUGUUUGCGUACUGCGGCUGCCCUGUGACUCUGGAUCUUGUCUCCUGGCCGGCGCCUCGAUUCCUACCCAGCUGGAUUGGGGGGCAACACUGCCUGGCGCAGCCAAGAGAGCGAAUGAGACUACAAAGAAGCAUAAAAUGAAUAGACAAUCCAACCAACCAAAGACCCGGGGCAGCAGCACGCCAGCAAGACGGCAUCUUCUCCUCCCCAGCCUAGAAGCCCUGUGAAAUCGAGGAUCUUCCCCCUAAAACACACACGCACAAGAUAUGUGCAAUCAAGCUGCCACCGCUUGGUAAAAAAGCUCAUGGUGUCUACCCCAAAAGGAUCCGGAGCAGAUCCUUGAAUCAGCUGUCACUUCUUCUAUAGAAUGGGAUUUUUUUUUUUCCUUCCUCCUUAACCUGCGCUGGAAAUUGCCGUUGGCUUUAUACGUCUCUAUAGAGGGAGGCUAAAGAGUCUUGCGUGAGAAUGAAGCAAUUUACAAUGCAAAUAGAGGCCUGUGAAGGGACUGAUUCUGCUGCUCACUCGUAACCGCUUGCUGCACCGUAAUAGCUGGUUUUAUUUUCUGAUCUUGAUAGAUGAAUUGUUGGCUAACGCUGCCGGAGAUUACCUGCUGAAAGGAGGAAAAAAAAAAAGUUUGGAAUAAACUUUGAAAGCCACAGCUCUCGUUUGGAUGUUUUAGCCGCACACACAAACAGAAACCAGGUCAUAUUUACAUACAAGGAGGCAUCUUUUGCGCGGCCAAGUGUCCUGGAGGACUAUACUCUUCGGCGCUGCCAGAAAGAUCCGGACCUGGAGUAUGGGCCGAAGAAGACAGAGGCUGUGAGGGAAGCGAGUUGUUAUCUUUGGUUAUCUAGCUGUAUGAGUGUAUUGGUCUUCAUAAAGCUAGAUAACCGAAAGUAAAAACUCCUUCAAGGUCGCCGGCGAGCGUGUGAGAGUGAACGACAGCCCAGAGACAGUAAAAACCGGAAAGGUCAGGAACACUUAUUGAAUCUAACUUUGUUUUUGUGUUCGUUUUUGCCUUAUGAUGAAAGGUGGGAUGAGAGGAAAUUAAGUGACACACGUAUGCCAAAACAUAAAGGUGGAGAUAUUUUGCUAGAGGUCGUUGGAGCUGCAGAGGAGACUUGUAUAGUGCUAAUGAGUAAGGGGGCACGUGUAGUGUGUCCCACUUUAAGGCGAAAGUUUACAUUUGGAGGUGUUUUUUUUUCCUUUUUUUCUUAGAAAGCUGUUGUAGAGCUGUCUGGUACCUAGUUUGCAAAUGAUUCCAUAUAUAUGUAGACUUAGGCUGUUCCCUUCUGAGACCCCCUCCCCUGAAAAAUUUAAAGAUUAUACUUGGAAACUGCAUAUNUGCUGUGGCAAGACAGAACUGAGUAAAUUACACACUCCCCUGACAACAAUAAAACUCCAGUCCUUAGAAUCAAGAGUUUUGUUGAUAUAAAAUGCAAACAAAAAUGCAAAAAAAAAAAAAAAAGCAAAGGCUGAUUUUUAUUCUUCUAUUCAAAAUACAAGGACAGAUGCUUCUCUGUUCCAAGAGGGUUUCCUUGAGGAAGCUACUGAAGCAGAAAGACAUGAUGGAGACGAGAUCGCCUCCCCUCUUGUCAAAGUGUUAAAAAAAUGUUCUGUCUUACUCUGCGCCUAGCAUUGGAAAUGAAAGUGACAUUUACGCCACAACCCACGUGUGCGCCUCCUCUCUUUUUGUUUAAGGAUGAUCAGGUCUAUCCAGGAAACAGCUCUGGCAUCCCAAACUGAAAUAAUUAGGACGUAUAUAGACCUGACAAAAAUGGAAAGGGGGUGGGGAAUCUGAGGGUCUGUCUUGCCUAAUUGAUUCCACUAAACGGAAUGCGGGAGAUGUGAACGGCAGGACGCUCCGAUUCCCACGCUCGGGGGCAAGUGGUAAAGCGGGGCCCGGCAGCCUAUGACAGACAGCCCUGUUGGGGGGUGGGGGUAUGAAAAAAACAUCAAGUGCACACACCAUGCUCAUCUCCAUCGCUUAAGAAAGUAGAGGCAUUUCCCACCCACAGCCAUCUGCAGCCUCCGAAAUGGCAGCGCCAACUGGUCUGUAGCUGCUGCGCACUGUCUGUCUCUGUUAAUUUUAUAAUCGCUGUUUAAUCUGGCCAUUAUUAAGUCUGGCUGUUUUCUUCGGUUGAAAUUUUUAAUAUGGAAGGAAAGCUAGUAGAAAACAGUUUCCCGCAAAGUGCCAUUACUUCCUGGCCCUCAUGUCAAAUUCUCAGUCCCUCCUUUUGGCCCGGUGGACCACCUUUUCUGGCUAUUGUUUUGGGUGGGUUAUAUUUAAAAAUAUGUGUCUCUGUAUAACAGACGUUAUGAUCACUUCAUCAGACUGUUUACCUCUGAACAUUAUGUAUCUAGAAACUUGGCCUAAUUAUGCUAGUAGGCAUGCACUGGAAGUGAAACUAUAAAAUUCUCAACCUGAAGAGUGUUAAUUAAAACACAAUAAAAGUUUGUUCUGAUAUAGAACCAGCUAAAUGUGUUCUAAACAGCCAUUUUCAUUUAACCUAAAAAUGACUUUGCUUAGGAGAAACUUUGGCAUUUUAGAUGUCCCCCCCCAUAAUCUUUUAGAGAAAUCCUUACAUUUUUCCAUGUGUCACCAAGCAAACAUUUGUAUAGGUAUUUAAAUAUAAAUACAAACCUUGCAUUACAAAAUGUCUGGAAUGACUUGUUACCUUCCACAGGGCCUAGAUUACUAGCAAUCCCAAAUCCCAAACAUACAGUUUUUCUUCAAAAGCAUUACAUUUUCCUUUGUAGUUUCAAAUCCUUAUAAGACUGCAGCCUCGUGAAGCCUGUAAAAGCACUGUUAGUUUGUUAGAAACUCUGAGAGACUUUAUUAAUGUAAAUUCUCAAUUUGGCUGCUGAACACGUGCCAAAGUUUUACUACUGUAGUGACCGUUGAGAAGACCCUUGUUUAUUUACAUUUGAAGCACUGUUUGUGCAAACAACCUUUCAUUGUUAAGUGCCUGUAUUCCUUUCAUUUACUUCAUGUCCAGGGGUGCUAUUUACCUAGAACCAUUGUCUACUACAAUUAACAUUUACAUUACAAAGUGUGUGGUUUUCUUUCUCAAGGAGGUUCAAUUAAGGCAAUAAGAUGUUUGCUGGGGAAACCUAUUGUUUACUGAAAGCACUCAAUGGAGUCAAAUUACUGAAGCUUUUGCCUACAUCUUGGUCUUUUAUGUAAAUGUGUUAAAUAUAACAUCUAAGGAAAAUAAACAAUAUUAUAAUUAUGUGUUUGCCAUUGUCAUAUCAAACUUGCUUUGUAUCAUACUAAUGUUACAUGACUUAUCGAUCAAUAAAAAUACAUUUCAAUGUUA